GGCGACGUGGCCGAGUGGUUAGGCAGAGGCCUGCAAAGCCUUGUACACCGGUUCGAAUCCGGUCGUCGCCU
rnacentral:tRNA from 3 species